rnacentral:lncRNA from 1 species
GAGCCCGUUUGCUGCCUGUGCAGGUACUGAAGGGCAGGAGCUGGGAGGUGGCAGAGUCAGUUUCCUUGCCAGUCGUAAAGAUGCAAUUAUCACCCCUUGUUUGACCGAAGACUGUAAAAGGAGACUCAAUGUGCUGUUGGAGAAGGUUUGCUGACAGCAGUUUUCCUGGAUGGAGAUUCUGAGGUAGGAUGGCCACAAUUCUUCCAG